UACGUAGGGUGCUAGCGUUGUUCGGAAUCAUUGGGCGUAAAGCGCGUGUAGGUUGUUAGGUAAGUCGAUUGUGAAAUCCCUGGGCUCAACCGAGGAAGUGCAGUCGAAAACUACCCUAGCUAGAAGACGGCAGAGGAAGGUGGAAUUCCUAGUGUAGAGGUGAAAAUUCGUAGAUAUUAGGAGGAAUACCGGUGGCGAAGGCGGCCUUCUGGACCGAUCUUGACACUGAGACGCGAAAGCGUAGGGAGCAAACAGG
rnacentral:rRNA from 1 species